UGCAUUCCCAAACAACUCGACUCGUCGAAAGGGCCUCGCACGGGCUGGACCGUUGGCCGCGUACGGGAUUCUCACCCUCUGUGACGCCCAGUUCCAUGGGACUUGGGCCACAGUCGCACCCGAGGCACCUUCUCCAAAUUACAAUUCGGACCCGGAACGGGCCAGAUUUCAAAUUUGAGCUGUUGCCGCUUCACUCGCCGUUACUGGGGCAAUCCCGGUUGGUUUCUUUUCCUCCGCUUAUUGAUAUGC
rnacentral:misc_RNA from 1 species